rnacentral:rRNA from 1 species
UUUCUUUGCUGGCGACCGGCGCACGGGUGAGUAACACGUAUCCAACCUGCCCUUUACUCGGGGAUAGCCUUUCGAAAGAAAGAUUAAUACCCGAUAGCAUAAUGAUUCCGCAUGGUUUCAUUAUUAAAGGAUUCCGGUAAAGGAUGGGGAUGCGUUCCAUUAGGUUGUUGGUGAGGUAACGGCUCACCAAGCCUUCGAUGGAUAGGGGUCUGAGAGGAAGGUCCCCCACAUUGGAACUGAGACACGGUCCAA